rnacentral:rRNA from 1 species
AUUGAACGCUGGCGGCAGGCUUAACACAUGCAAGUCGAGCGGGGGAAGGUAGCUUGCUACCGGACCUAGCGGCGGACGGGUGAGUAAUGCUUAGGAAUCUGCCUAUUAGUGGGGGUCAACAUCUCGAAAGGGAUGCUAAUACCGCAUACGUCCUACGGGAGAAAGCAGGGGAUCACUUGUGACCUUGCGCUAAUAGAUGAGCAUAAGUCGGAUUAGCUAGUUGGUGGGGUAAAGGCCUACCAAGGCGACGAUCUGUAGCGGGUCUGAGAGGAUGAUCCGCCCAAGUGGGAAUGAGACGCGGGCCAGACUCCUACUGGAGGCAGCAGUGGGAAAUAUGGGACAAUGGGGGAAACCCUGAGCCAGCCAUGCCGCGUGUGUGAAGAAGGCCUUAUGGUUGUAAAGCACUUUAAGCGAGGAGGAGGCUACUGAGACUAAUACUCUUGGAUAGUGGACGUUACUCGCAGAAUAAGCACCGGCUAACUCUGUGCCAGCCGCCGCUGUAA